GCUCAGGAUGAACGCUGGCGGCGUGCCUAAUACAUGCAAGUCGAACGAACUUCCGUUAAUUGAUUAUGACGUACUUGUACUGAUUGAGAUUUUAACACGAAGUGAGUGGCGAACGGGUGAGUAACACGUGGGUAACCUGCCCAGAAGUAGGGGAUAACACCUGGAAACAGAUGCUAAUACCGUAUAACAGAGAAAACCGCAUGGUUUUCUUUUAAAAGAUGGCUCUGCUAUCACUUCUGGAUGGACCCGCGGCGUAUUAGCUAGUUGGUGAGGUAAAGGCUCACCAAGGCAGUGAUACGUAGCCGACCUGAGAGGGUAAUCGGCCACAUUGGGACUGAGACACGGCCCAGACUCCUACGGGAGGCAGCAGUAGGGAAUCUUCCACAAUGGACGCAAGUCUGAUGGAGCAACGCCGCGUGAGUGAAGAAGGGUUUCGGCUCGUAAAGCUCUGUUGUUAAAGAAGAACGUGGGUAAGAGUAACUGUUUACCCAGUGACGGUAUUUAACCAGAAAGCCACGGCUAACUACGUGCCAGCAGCCGCGGUAAUACGUAGGUGGCAAGCGUUAUCCGGAUUUAUUGGGCGUAAAGCGAGCGCAGGCGGUCUUUUAAGUCUAAUGUGAAAGCCUUCGGCUCAACCGAAGAAGUGCAUUGGAAACUGGGAGACUUGAGUGCAGAAGAGGACAGUGGAACUCCAUGUGUAGCGGUGAAAUGCGUAGAUAUAUGGAAGAACACCAGUGGCGAAGGCGGCUGUCUGGUCUGCAACUGACGCUGAGGCUCGAAAGCAUGGGUAGCGAACAGGAUUAGAUACCCUGGUAGUCCAUGCCGUAAACGAUGAUUACUAAGUGUUGGAGGGUUUCCGCCCUUCAGUGCUGCAGCUAACGCAUUAAGUAAUCCGCCUGGGGAGUACGACCGCAAGGUUGAAACUCAAAAGAAUUGACGGGGGCCCGCACAAGCGGUGGAGCAUGUGGUUUAAUUCGAAGCUACGCGAAGAACCUUACCAGGUCUUGACAUCUUCUGACAGUCUAAGAGAUUAGAGGUUCCCUUCGGGGACAGAAUGACAGGUGGUGCAUGGUUGUCGUCAGCUCGUGUCGUGAGAUGUUGGGUUAAGUCCCGCAACGAGCGCAACCCUUAUUACUAGUUGCCAGCAUUAAGUUGGGCACUCUAGUGAGACUGCCGGUGACAAACCGGAGGAAGGUGGGGACGACGUCAAAUCAUCAUG
rnacentral:rRNA from 1 species